rnacentral:lncRNA from 1 species
AGCUCAGCACUAAUUCUAGUAAAAGUAAAGCUCUCGUCAGGUUUUACCCCGUUAUGGAAGAAGAUACAAGCCUAGAAUGUCAGAUCCUUGAACAUGUCCAACCAUGUGAUCUGGUGCAUCUCGGGUUUAUAAUAAACCAAUUUGGGAAAGAAAAAUCACCAUGUACAGAUUAAGAUGAGCCGAUGUCUGAUACUGCAAGAAAGAGCUAAUCUCUAUAUGCAGAAACUAAAUCCAUAAAGACACAAGUGGAAAAAAUACAAUAAGCUUAAUACUAUUAAGGGCAAAAGGAAAAAAAACUCAGGGUUUUCAUACAGAGCUCUAGAGUCUCUACAGAAGGUCAGAUGAAGACCGGAGGAAGCUGUGUGAAAGGUUAAAGACCUAGCAGCUCCCCUUGGAGAAGAGAACACAGUUGGUAACUGGGACACAGGAGACAGAGACCAUGUGGAUGAGCAGCAAGAGAAGCCAGGAGGAAACCGACAGAUGCUGCCGGGUUGUGUGCAUCUCAACACCCAGAAGAAAGAGAAAAAUAAACUCUAUGCCAACAUUUCUAAAAAAGAGGACACAAAAACUGACCUGACAGAUCAUCUUAACAAGCUUUGGAUUGAGGGAACCUCAACUGAAAGUACAGUUCAAAAUCUUCAGGACAGAGGAAAGGAAAUGAAUGAACGUUGUCAGAAAGAAAUGGAGCUUCUCAGGAUAUUACCUGUCAAGGCAGAUCAUGACUUGGAACAAGAAGAGGAAAGUUCUGAAGCAAAAGACAAGAUAAGCCAUGAGGAUGAAGAGCUGAAGACCUUCGAAAGUAAUUCAAAGACCUUGAAGAAAGGGUGGAAGGAACAAUUUCUUCUUAUCAUCUUAGAUUCUGUUCCUUGAACUAACAGCACAUGAUUCCCGGGGGAGAGUGUGGGAGGCUAGACAAAACCUUUUCAUCUCAAGGGUGGAGGCUGCAGACCUAAGACAAUUCAAACAGCCAUUCAACUCGAGUUUCUAGAAGUGAUGAUCCACCUGAUGUUCCAAGUGGCACAGGUGUCAGGGAGCAAAUGGCCCCUGGGAAAUGGUUCACAUCUUCAAAGACAGGAGGGUCUCCCACCCUUCCCCUCAGACUUGCUUCUCGGCUGCAAAGCUUUUUCCUUCUUCCUCCAUUGCCAAACCCAGUGUUUCCAGUGGAUCCAAAUGGGGAAUUUAUGGCCAGAGGGCUCAGAUAGCAUGGAAACCCCUCUCCU